rnacentral:rRNA from 1 species
CCUANGGGAGGCUGCAGUGAGGAAUUUUCCGCAAUGGGCGAAAGCCUGACGGAGCGACGCCGCGUGUGCGAUGAAGUCCUUCGGGAUGUAAAACACUGUCGGGGGGGACGAUAAUGACGGUACCCCCAAAGGAAGCCCCGGCCAACUACGUGCCAGCAGCCGCGGUAAUACGUAGGGGGCGAGCGUUAUCCGGAAUUAUUGGGCGUAAAGGGCGUGUAGGCGGUUUUGUAAGUCGGGUGUUAAAGGUAUGGGCUUAACUCAUACAUUGCGCCCGAAACUACAUUUCUGGAGAAUGGCAGAGGUAAACGGAACUUCCGGUGUAGCGGUGAAAUGCGUAGAUAUCGGAAGGAACACCAGUUGCGAAGGCGGUUUACUGGGCCAUUUCUGACGCUGAGGCGCGAAAGCUAGGGGAGCAAACGGGAUUAGAUACCCGANUANUC